UGAAUUUUAAGUUAAUAAAAACUAGAAAUCUUCCAAAUUUCCAAUAAGGCUGCUUAAAUUCAA
rnacentral:tRNA from 1 species